UACAUUCCUAGGUGAGACUGGACAUUAUACCCAAUUGACUAGAAGCAUAUCCAAAGUAAGAGAUGAAAAAGUUAUCUAAUCAGAGUAUCCUGGCAAGGGUUGAAGGAACUCUUCUAAGUCGAUGAAGCAUAGCAUCUCUGACCUGACAGGAAAAUGGACUGAAUAAUUUAGAUCUCUAUCCAAAGCAUCAAAACACUUUAGUUCUCAAGGAGACAUCUUUGAUGUGAAGUGUUCUGGAUUUCCUCACUCCCUUACAUUUUUGACUAGGGUAAUGAACUGUACUGGAGGCUGGACAGAGAAAACAAAACUGAUUCCUACCUUCAAAUGACUGUAUCCAAGCAGAGUUCCUUGAAUGCUAUAAGCCACUGACUAAGUGUUGAGCUAUGCUGAAUUGAGUUCAAUGAGAUGCCAGAGCUGGAGAAUAAGAUGCUUACAGAAAAAAGAUAAAACUUCAAACCACUGAUGUUCUCUUAUAAUCUUGGAUAUUCAGUGAUUUGUGGAAGGAUACAGUCCCAGGAGAUCACUAAAUAGGUUCUAAAUUCUUUGACCCCAGCAAGUCAUACAACUGUUCUUAUAAGGUUGGCAGCUUGAAAAACAUAAAGAAUGGCAGAAGAGAGAAUUGAAGAGGAAGAUUUCAAUGAUGUCAUAGAAGUUUUUCAUCUGAAAAAAUGGAGAAGUGAAGCCACUAAACAAUAUAAGAACUAUAAGGCUUUGUUUUUGGCUUUUCGUUUUUUCUGCAAAUUUUAAGGUCAAUGAAAUAGGUUAGCUUGAUCAAAAACUAUAUUAAACAGGAUGAUUUGGGGGACCAUUCUUCUGGUAGGCAUGUUAUGCAAACUGAGCCUCACUUUUGUAUGGGUUUUUUGAAAUUCAUUGUG